GCGGAGGAAAAGAAACCAACAGGGAUUGCCCUAGUAACGGCGAGUGAAGCGGCAACAGCUCAAAUUUGAAAUCUGGCUCUCUUUGGGGGUCCGAGUUGUAAUUUGCAGAGGAUGCUUUGGCAUUGGCGGCGGUCUAAGUUCCUUGGAACAGGACAUCGCAGAGGGUGAGAAUCCCGUACGUGGGCGCCUGCCUUUGCCGUGUAAAGCUCCUUCGACGAGUCGAGUUGUUUGGGAAUGCAGCUCUAAAUGGGAGGUAAAUUUCUUCUAAAGCUAAAUACCGGCCAGAGACCGAUAGCGCACAAGUAGAGUGAUCGAAAGAUGAAAAGUACUUUGGAAAGAGAGUCAAAAAGCACGUGAAAUUGUUGAAAGGGAAGCGCUUGCAGCCAGACUUGCCCGCAGUUGCUCACCUAGGCUUUGGCCUGGGGCACUCUUCUGCGGGCAGGCCAGCAUCAGUUUGGGCGGUCGGACAAAGGCCUCUGUCAAGUAUCUCCCUUCGGGGUGACCUUAUAGGGGAGGCGUAAUGCGACCAGCCCGGACUGAGGUCCGCGCAUCUGCUAGGAUGCUGGCGUAAUGGCUGUAAGCGGCCCGUCUUGAAACACGGACCAAGGAGUCUAACAUCUAUGCGAGUGUUUGGGUGUCAAGCCCGGGCGCGCAAUGAAAGUGAACGGAGGUGGGAACCCUUUGGGUGCACCAUCGACCGAUCCUGAUGUCUUCGGAUGGAUUUGAGUAAGAGCAUAGCUGUUGGGACCCGAAAGAUGGUGAACUAUGCUUGAAUAGGGUGAAGCCAGAGGAAACUCUGGUGGAGGCUCGCAGCGGUUCUGACGUGCAAAUCGAUCGUCAAAUUUGGGCAUAGGGGCGAAAGACUAAUCGAACCAUCUAGUAGCUGGUUCU
rnacentral:sRNA from 1 species